AGAGUNNNNUCCUGGCUCAGAUUGAACGCUGGCGGCAGGCCUAACACAUGCAAGUCGAGCGGUAGCACAGAGAGCUUGCUCUCGGGUGACGAGCGGCGGACGGGUGAGUAAUGUCUGGGAAACUGCCUGAUGGAGGGGGAUAACUACUGGAAACGGUAGCUAAUACCGCAUAACGUCGCAAGACCAAAGAGGGGGACCUUCGGGCCUCUUGCCAUCAGAUGUGCCCAGAUGGGAUUAGCUAGUAGGUGGGGUAACGGCUCACCUAGGCGACGAUCCCUAGCUGGUCUGAGAGGAUGACCAGCCACACUGGAACUGAGACACGGUCCAGACUCCUACGGGAGGCAGCAGUGGGGAAUAUUGCACAAUGGGCGCAAGCCUGAUGCAGCCAUGCCGCGUGUAUGAAGAAGGCCUUCGGGUUGUAAAGUACUUUCAGCGGGGAGGAAGGUGUUGUGGUUAAUAACCACAGCAAUUGACGUUACCCGCAGAAGAAGCACCGGCUAACUCCGUGCCAGCAGCCGCGGUAAUACGGAGGGUGCAAGCGUUAAUCGGAAUUACUGGGCGUAAAGCGCACGCAGGCGGUCUGUCAAGUCGGAUGUGAAAUCCCCGGGCUCAACCUGGGAACUGCAUCCGAAACUGGCAGGCUUGAGUCUUGUAGAGGGGGGUAGAAUUCCAGGUGUAGCGGUGAAAUGCGUAGAGAUCUGGAGGAAUACCGGUGGCGAAGGCGGCCCCCUGGACAAAGAC
rnacentral:rRNA from 1 species